GAAAUGCGAUAAGUAGUGUGAAUUGCAGAAUUCAGUGAAUCAUCGAAUCUUUGAACGCACAUUGCGCCCCUUGGUAUUCCAUGGGGCAUGCCUGUUCGAGCGUCAUUUGUCCCCUCAAGCUCUGCUUGGUGUUGGGUGUUUGUCCCGUCUCCGCGCGUGGACUCGCCCCAAAGUGAUUGGCAGCCGGCGUACUGGUCCCGGAGCGCAGCACAUGUCGCGCAAACGAGUGCCUUGGUACGGCGGCGUCCAUAAGCCCCUCUCUCACGCUCUUGACCUCGGAUCAGGUAGGGAUACCCGCUGAACUUAAGC
rnacentral:misc_RNA from 1 species